GGCCGACCCUCAACCCCAUGUCUACCUUCUCUGUUGCUUUGGCGGGCCCGUGGGGAGACCCACCGCCGGCUUCGGCCGGCCUGUGCCCGUCAGAGGACCUCCAAACUCGAUCAACGUGUCGUCUGAGUGUCAUACAAUAGUUAAAACUUUCAACAACGGAUCUCUUGGUUCCGGCAUCGAUGAAGAACGCAGCGAAAUGCGAUAAGUAAUGUGAAUUGCAGAAUUCAGUGAAUCAUCGAAUCUUUGAACGCACAUUGCGCCCCUUGGUAUUCCGAGGGGCAUGCCUGUCCGAGCGUCAUUUCAACCAUCAAGCAUCGCUUGGUAUUGGGUUCUCGCCUGUCCGGCGAGCCCGGAAACCAGUGGCGGUCCCUCGCGGACUCGAGCGUCGUAAACUAAUCACGCUUUGGAGCACGGGAGAUGUGACCAGCCAGAUCACCCCAAUUUAAUCACGGUUGACCUCGGAUCAGGUAGGGAUACCCGCUGAACUUAAGCAUAUCAAUAAGCGGAGGAAAAGAAACCAACAGGGAUUGCCUCAGUAACGGCGAGUGAAGCGGCAACAGCUCAAAUUUGAAAUCUGGCUCUUUCAGGGUCCGAGUUGUAAUUUGUAGAGGAUGCUUCGGGUGCGGCCCGGUCUAAGUUCCUUGGAACAGGACGUCACAGAGGGUGAGAAUCCCGUACGUGAUCGGACGCCAACCCCAUGUGAAGCGCCUUCGACGAGUCGAGUUGUUUGGGAAUGCAGCUCUAAAUGGGUGGUAAAUUUCAUCUAAAGCUAAAUAUUGGCCGGAGACCGAUAGCGCACAAGUAGAGUGAUCGAAAGAUGAAAAGCACUUUG
rnacentral:rRNA from 1 species